rnacentral:rRNA from 1 species
GACGAACGCUGGCGGCGUGCCUAAUACAUGCAAGUAGAACGCACAGUUUAUACCUUAGCUUGCUACACCAUAGACUGUGAGUUGCGAACGGGUGAGUAACGCGUAGGUAACCUGCCUGGUAGCGGGGGAUAACUAUUGGAAACAAUAGCUAAUACCGCAUAAUAUUAAUUAUUGCAUGAUAAUUAAUUGAAAGGUGCAAUUGCACCACUACCAGAUGGACCUGCGUUGUAUUAGCUAGUAGGUGAGGUAACGGCUCACCUAGGCGACGAUACAUAGCCGACCUGAGAGGGUGAUCGGCCACACUGGGACUGAGACACGGCCCAGACUCCUACGGGAGGCAGCAGUAGGGAAUCUUCGGCAAUGGACGAAAGUCUGACCGAGCAACGCCGCGUGAGUGAAGAAGGUUUUCGGAUCGUAAAGCUCUGUUGUAAGAGAAGAACGGGUGUGCGAGUGGAAAGUUCACACUGUGACGGUAUCUUACCAGAAAGGGACGGCUAACUACGUG